rnacentral:lncRNA from 1 species
AGGAAAGAGGCGUCAAGGGUGCUGUGUCAAAGGAGGCUCAGUCGUGUAACACAAAGGGUACAGAGAGAAAAUAAUGUAAGAUGACUGCCGAAUAAAAGGGUUCAAGUCGUCCUAGAACUAGAGGACCCCAAACAAAGGAAGACUAGGGGUGUGCCAAGCCCUCUCUAACGUCACGAAUCCUGCGGUGUACCCUGAAUCAUGUUGUGAGAGGGAAGGUGAUAAAAAGAAACUCAAGGAAGACAGGAACCAUAGGAAGCACCUGGGAGCAUUCUGCUGCAAACAAGAAGCCAGGGGGACCAGGACAGCUAUUUCCAAAUGUACAAGGGCCGUUUCUCAAGCUGCUACUUGCAACCAGAAUAUAUUCUGCUCUAGAAGAGACAAUCCGUCUGUAGGGACACCAGCUUUGUCGGCCUUCAACAGUUACGACCAAUAGGUGCCCGAGGACCUGCCCACCAAAUGGUGCAUCAGACACUGAUCUUCCGGAGUAGUCCUUAGAGAACUGCAGUAAAGAACGAACGCAGGGGCAUUGGAUCUGGGGUUGAUAAACACAUAACCAAACGUGCUGUCUCCUGAACAAAACAACACAAGUUCAAACAGGCAAACAAAAAAACCCUAAUGAACACACAAAGAAGAUUGAUGAUUGGCAACCAAGCCAAAAAAAUUUUAAAGGCUCAGGGGCAAGCAGUAAGCAGGUGAAGUGAAGUUUUCUUUUCCUUUUUAAAAACAACAUAAAUCAAGACAAAUAAUCAAACUCAUCACGGGGUGGGGUGGUGGUGCAAUUUUUACCAUGUUCUGAGGGAAAGAUACAGGACUUUAGGAUUUUAUCCAGAGUAUUCAGUUGAAAGAUACAGUCAUGUAAUGAGAAUUUGAAGACUAUACUAUGGGAAUGUGUCACUAGAAUAUACUAUUGUAAUAUUUCACUUUAAAAGUUGUUGAUGCGCACGGCAGUGUUGGUGCACGCCUUUAAUCCCAGCACUCGGGAGGCAGAGGCAGGUGGAUCUCUGUAGGCCAGCCUGGUCUACAAAACUACAUAGAGAAACACUGUCUCAAAAACCAAACAAACAACAACAAAAAGUUGUUGAUGGGGG